rnacentral:tRNA from 1 species
GGGAAUGUGGCUUAGUGGUAGAGUGCUUGCCUACCAUGCAUGAAGUCCUAGGUUCGAUUCCUCAGUACCA